GAAAGAAAUAGAAUUAACAUGCUGGGAGGGGAACAAGGAGAUCACAACCUCCAAGCAGACCCAGGCCUUCUCCGGAUAGUUCUGAGUUGGCCUGAUGGGGCACAAGAGAUCACACAGAGCAGAAUACAGCUGACUCAGUGAAGGUCACUAACCAGCCAGUCCCCAGCCCAUCUGCCAGCUGCCCAAAGAUGCCAAACAACCAGUCUUAUGAGAAAUCAUAAAUGAUGGCUGAUUUGAGGAUUCCUGGGGACAGAUGCACUGGUUCAUCACCGCAUCCCACCCAGGAGAGCAGAGCAGCUUGAGGGCUGCAUCAGGCUGAAGGAGGGUGAGACCUGGUACCACACCACGAGGAAUGUACUCAUCAUGGAUCACAAACAGGUGUUUGCCUGCCUCCCACACAGCCCUGUGCGUCAAGGAAGCUGAGCUCACCCUGCUCUAGAGAUCUCCUCCCCCUGCAGAGACAAUCAGCACAUUCCAUUCCUCUGGCAUGGCCGGGCUCAAGUGGGUCUGCGACCCCACCCAAUCCGAGUGGCUCGCAGGACUCCUGCUUGGAAUCCUGGGGCAGAACCUGCUCUUUUAGAUAAGGAAGUUAGUGGCAAGGAGAGCUGUUGGCACUUGCUACAGGGAAGAGAACCAGCCUACAGAUACAUAGGAUGGCAGAGGCAAGAGGACGGCAGAGAAAGUCACAGAGCUUUCACUUUGGGGCACCUUGGUGACAGGCGCCUCUUUCUCUCCCACUGCAGGCAGGUCUCUACCACUGCACUCAGAACAUGGAAAGAGAGAGCUUCUCCUGCUGUUGUCUACACACUGGUCCUAAACAAUUCUCUGUGGACUGUAUCAUGUCGGUGGGUUGGGCCUGGGCGUUGUGCCCAGUCUUGUAGCCAGCGGAGGCAACCAGAAUAAAGGCGAAUGGAGGACCUUGCUAGUGAUCCUCUCUCGACACAAACAUUAGCUACCGCUGUCCCCUGGAUGGUGUCUUGCCUCAUUUUAGGCUGCUUUCCUGUGUUAUCCCCUGCUGCCUGCAUCCCCUCCACUCCGAAGAGCGCAACA
ensembl:lncRNA